GACGAACCGUACGAACGUUAUCCGGAAUCACUGGGCUUAAAGGGUGCGUAGGCGGCGCAGAAAGUUGGGUGUGAAAUCCCUCGGCUCAACCGAGGAACUGCGCCCAAAACUACUGUGCUCGAGGGAGACAGAGGUGAGCGGAACUUAGGGUGGAGCGGUGAAAUGCGUUGAUAUCCUAAGGAACACCGGUGGCGAAAGCGGCUCACUGGGUCUCUUCUGACGCUGAGGCACGAAAGCUAGGGUAGCGAACGGG
rnacentral:rRNA from 1 species